AUGCACGCUGGCGGCGUGCCUAAUACCUGCCAGUCGAGCGAACAGACGAGGAGCUUGCUCCUCUGACGUUAGCGGCGGACGGGUGAGUAACACGUGGAUAACCUACCUAUAAGACUGGGAUAACUUCGGGAAACCGGAGCUAAUACCGGAUAAUAUAUUGAACCGCAUGGUUCAAUAGUGAAAGACGGUUUUGCUGUCACUUAUAGAUGGAUCCGCGCCGCAUUAGCUAGUUGGUAAGGUAACGGCUUACCAAGGCAACGAUGCGUAGCCGACCUGAGAGGGUGAUCGGCCACACUGGAACUGAGACACGGUCCAGACUCCUACGGGAGGCAGCAGUAGGGAAUCUUCCGCAAUGGGCGAAAGCCUGACGGAGCAACGCCGCGUGAGUGAUGAAGGUCUUCGGAUCGUAAAACUCUGUUAUUAGGGAAGAACAAAUGUGUAAGUAACUAUGCACGUCUUGACGGUACCUAAGCAGAAAGCCACGGCUAACUACGU
rnacentral:rRNA from 1 species